CUAAGGAUGAUCUUAGCAGCAAGACUUCGGUCUUACUCGUAGAUCACUUAGCAUGAUAUGUCCUUUGCAUAUCAAAACAUCAGUUCAUCUUUUGAUGGACUUGGGCCGAGCCGUCCUCAUAUCUCUUCAGAAUUGCGAGCCUUAGGCUUGUAUAAACCGCCUGAUUGGACCACCACCGGCCCUUUCGGCAGACUUGCUUUGCAAGUCACCUGUCGGGCGUUGUCGAUCUUGUUAUUCAAGAUCCACUGGGUCGGUAGCUCAGGUGGUUAGAGCGCACGCCUGAUAAGCGUGAGGUCGGAGGUUCAAGUCCUCCUCGACCCACCAUAGAUUACACACCCUUAAAUGGGGCGUUAGCUCAGCUGGGAGAGCACCUGCUUUGCAAGCAGGGGGUCAUCGGUUCGAUCCCGAUACGCUCCACCAUAUCCCUGCAAUUUGCAUAGCAAAUUGUCAGGUUUUGAGCCGCGACAGUGUUUUUUGCCUCGCAAAAAAUCACGAAAGCUCCUUUGCAAUUUGCGCAGCAAGUUCAAAGUGCAAUUUAAGUUUGAAAGUUAAGCAACUUUUGUUGUUUUGCUGUCCAACUUGGACAUUGUUCAGUCUUCGGACUGACUUGACAUCGUAAAGAGAGAUACAAACAUCAGAAUUACUGAUGCACCGCGUAAGGUGUAUCGUGAUGUUGUUUGGCAUCGUGUGAGAGGGGUAGGAGCAAUCUUAUCUUUUGAUUGGGGUGUCAUAUAUAGCAACAGUUCACAAAGUAAUUUUGUUCCAAGUUAAGUACAAUUAUACCUGAGUAAAGCCGCAAGGUUUUGCUCAUCGUCGCUGCUCUAUCCGGGCAGUGGCGGCACGCAUGUUGCCCCCUCUUUGAACCAGCGGGGGCCCAUGGGAAUAAUUUUGUAUGACUUUUGGUUCAGAAUUUAGUCAUCUUCGGAUGAUGUUGGCAGGACACGCAAAAGGCCUGUCUUCUUCU
rnacentral:tRNA from 1 species